AACAUAUCCUAGGAGAUAGGUUAUAAAAGGCAGAUAUUUGAAGGCUGAACUGCUACCAUGCUUUUGAAGCAUAAAGCAGGAUACAUAAAGGUAGGGAAAUAUGUUAAAAUAUUUCCUGUCUUAAAAUACAGGACACUUUCUCUGAAAUAUGCCAUUUCUCCAGAAUACAGUGGAUUCUCCAUAGCUAAUGUUAUACAAAAUAUAGAAGAGAAAAGCCUACCAAAAAAAAAAAAAGAAAGAAAAAAGAAAGAAAGAAAACAAAUACAGAGAAACUUUAAGAAAGAAAUCCUCCUUCUUCCCUUAGAAGUUCUGAUGCUGGGGAAACCUGAGUGUUCUUUGGAAAUGUUUAAGCUCACCAGCCAAGUUGGAGCAUGCAGAAUGGAAGAAGCAAUAAAGUGACAUGAGCAAGGAGCAGUUUUCUUCUCAUCUUUCCAAACUCAAAUGUGGAUCUAAAUUUUAUAUGGAAAGCUAAACUUAUCCCUGAAGAUUAAAGUAAGUAAACUAUGAUCAAAUUUUUGAAAAUUUCUCUAAAUCGACUUAGGAUCUUACAUCAUUCACCAAAAAAAGAAAGAUAAAGAAAAUAACCCAUUAAAAUGUUGAGAUAUAUUCUUAGUAUUCCUUAGUAUCUAUAUUUCUUCUAAAUUUUUUACUUAGUUAAUUUCAAUGGAGCUGAGUUUCAUCAUUCAUUCAUGAAGUUAAAUAAUUGGGAAGAAGUUUUAAGUACUUUUAUUUAUUUAUUUAUUUAUUUUUUAUCUUAACCAUGUUUUAUUUUUAAUUUUUUUAUAUAAUUUUUUUAUUUUCCCACUGUACAGCAAGGGGGUCAAGUUAUCCUUACAUGUAUACAUUACAAUUACAUUUUUCCCCCACCCUUUGUUCUGUUGCAACAUGAGUAUCUAGACAAAGUUCUCAAUGCUAUUCAGCAGGAUCUCCUUGUAAAUCUAUUCUAAGUUGUGUCUGAUAAGCCCAAGCUCCCGAUCCCUCCCACUCCCUCCCCCUCCCAUCAGGCAGCCACAAGUCUCUUCUCCAAGUCCAUGAUUUUCUUUUCUGAGGAGAUGUUCAUUUGUGCUGGGUAUUAGAUUCCAGUUAUAAGUGAUAUCAUAUGGUAUUUGUCUUUGUCUUUCUGGCUCAUUUCACUCAGUAUGAGAUUCUCUAGUUCCAUCCAUGUUGCUGCAAAUGGCAUUAUGUCAUUCUUUUUUAUGGCUGAGUAGUAUUCCAUUGUGUAUAUAUACCACAUCUUCCGAAUCCAAUCAUCUGUCGAUGGACAUUUGGGUUGUUUCCAUGUCCUGGCUAUUGUGAAUAGUGCUGCAAUGAACAUGCGGGUGCAUGUGUCUCUUUUAAGUAGAGUUUUGUCCGGAUAGAUGCCCAAGAGUGGGAUUGCGGGGUCAUAUGGAAGUUCUAUGUAUAGAUUUCUAAGGUAUCUCCAAACUGUUCUCCAUAGUGGCUGUACCAGUUUACAUUCCCACCAACAGUGCAGGAGGGUUCCCUUUUCUCCACAGCCCCUUAAGUACUUUUAAAUUGUCGUAGAGAUUACACAUCUAUCCUGUUUGUUAAGAUCCUCUGAAAAGUCCACUUCCUUCCUUAACAACUACUCUACAUCUCUCAUCUCUCACUGUCAGUAUUUUCUAAGGCCUAACUAAAAUUCUGAUAAUGAUUUAAGUGUAUUUCAUUUGUUCAUUCAGAAGCAAAUAUAACAAUUCUUUUCAGCAAGUCACAGUGUUAGUCUCUGUAAAGCAUGUGUAUUUGAGUGAGAUACUGAUCUUGCUCUUUAGUCCCCUUAUUGAUAAGUAAUUAAACAACUGAGGAAACUAAUGACAGAAAACAUUCACAUUGUGACAUUAUUCAGAAAAUAUUCAGUUUCUUUCAGCUGGAGGGAUAAGUAUAUACUCUUGAGAAAAGCUGAGCUGAAGAUGUGUCAGUGCUUAAAGAGUUCUACUGAACAGUUGUCCAAGGCAUUAGGACAUAUUAUUUAAGAAUAAGAUGCCAAGAGAAAGAAUUUAAGAGUUUAUUCUGGUAGGAGCAGAGCAAAAGUUUGUUUGUAUCCAAGUUCUCUCUUAUGGUUUCUGGCAAUCUACAGAAACAUUUCUAAGCCUCAGUUUCUCAAUAAGAUAAUGAAAAUAGCAUAUAGAUUUUAAUAUAUUUGUGAGGACAAAUGAGAUAUUAUAGUUUUUGGCAAUAAAAAGUGAUUGGUAAAAACA
rnacentral:lncRNA from 1 species